CUGGAAAUGAUGACACUUUCCCCAAAUGAUCGACGCUGAUUCUAAAUGCGCAAUAGGGUCGUCAGACCCUCAAGCCAGUAGCUGAUCCAA
rnacentral:snoRNA from 1 species